GGGCCGUUAGCUCAGUUGGUANGAGCAACUGACUUUUAAUCAGUGGGUCGCAGGUUCGAAUCCUGCACGGCUCACCA
rnacentral:tRNA from 1 species